rfam:Capsicum annuum cultivar Zunla-1 chromosome 5, whole genome shotgun sequence
UUGCCUUAAACUAAUGAGUAAGGAAAACAAAGCGGGCGGUGAGAGCUGACCGCAGCGCUAAUGAAACACAUCAAAUGGCGCAAGAAUUUAUGGAGGGGUUAUAGGCUGGCCGAGUGUUGACGCUGCCUACUUUGCAGAACUCACUUGUGCUGGCCUCCC